rnacentral:lncRNA from 1 species
CUCCCUCCCAGGGCUUCCUCCCCCAGGAGGGAUAGCAGGAAGGCAGGCAAGGACAGGACCUGAGUCCACACCUCGUCCGCGGUCACCUGCCUGACCAGGAGGAAGGGGAGGGGACAGGAGUGAUUCCACGGAGGUCACCUGGGAGCUGGGGCUGGGCGACCCCAGGGCUGGAUGACCUCAGGGCUGGGUGACCUCAGGGCUGGGUGAUCUCAGGGCUGGGUGACUUCAAGGCUGGGUGACCUCAGGGCUGGAUGACCUCAGGGCUGGGUGACCCCAGGGCUGACUAUUGGCGGAGCACCUGGGGUGGGUGCCAUGGGCACCUGAGAGGGAACUUUGACCUGAGCGGAGGUCAGAACCCUCCUCUGAGGAAGUGCCCCACCCCACUGAGCUCCCAGAGGCUGGUGGCAGGUUGAACAGGGGACUAUGCCAGCAGAGGGACUGCCUUCCAGAGACUUUGGAUCAUCACCACGAUGGGUUGAUUUUACAAAUUUAGCCACUGUCACCGGAGGCCUGGCUGAACUUCAGAGUUUCUUCUCCAGCGUCGGUUUCUUGAUUGCCUAAAGUUCCUUCCAGUCUAAUACUCUGGGAUUCUGGGCCAGUUUCUGGUCUGUCACAGCUGAAUAAGAGUGCAAGGGCAGGAGUGGAAUGUUCAGACUGCUCCAAGAGGACCUUGGCCCAGGUGAGGCAGCAGGCCGGCACCCUGCCCACAACCACAUAGAGGGCCCAGGCUUGUCUGACGCCUCAGGCUGUGCUCUCUCCAGCUCACUGCGGUGCCUCUCCCAGAUUCGGGCACACUCUGGUGUAACCUGCUUCGCUCGUUCGCGGGAUGGGUGGUGAGCAUGGAGCCCAUUUUCCCAUGUGGCAUUUCAGCAACAGGACUUGGCUAUUUGAAACUCCCCAGACAUAGCAGGAUUUAAAAAACGGAUCCCCUCUGGCUGGGCAUUUAGGUUGCUUUCACUUCUGGGCUGCUAUAAACAGCCUGCAGUUACUGCCUCAGGACGCCUUUCUGGAAGAUUCUUCUGCAGCACACACACUGCCUCCUCUGAAGUGUCCUGGCUGCAUGUGCUGCUCUCCUUGCCCUGGGCUGCCCUCUUCUCCCUGGUGUCAUGAGUAUCUGCUGACCUUCUGCUUCUCCCAUGACAGAGUGCCUUCCUUCUCUUCCUUCUCUGCCUUGGCCUCCAGCACGUAGUAGGCGCCUAGGAAAUGUUUUCCAGCAGAACGAGCCAUCUCCUGGCUGGUUUAGCAGUGUGGGAUUGUGUGGUG